ensembl:misc_RNA Y_RNA Y RNA
GGCUGGUCCAAAGGUAGUGAGUUACCUCACUUGGUUGUUCACUGUCACGUGAACUCCUGUUCUACUCUUUCCCCUCUUAUUACUGCACUUGACUAGUCCUUU